rnacentral:rRNA from 1 species
GAUGAACGCUAGCGGCAGGCUUAACACAUGCAAGUCGAGGGGUAGGUUACUUCGGUAACUGAGACCGGCGCACGGGUGCGUAACGCGUAUACAAUCUACCUUUUACAGAGGGAUAGCCCAGAGAAAUUUGGAUUAAUACCUCAUAGUAUUUUCGGAUCGCAUGAUUUGAUUAUUAAAGUUCCAACGGUAAAAGAUGAGUAUGCGUCCCAUUAGCUAGAUGGUAAGGUAACGGCUUACCAUGGCAACGAUGGGUAGGGGUCCUGAGAGGGAGAUCCCCCACACUGGUACUGAGACACGGACCAGACUCCUACGGGAGGCAGCAGUGAGGAAUAUUGGACAAUGGGCGCAAGCCUGAUCCAGCCAUGCCGCGUGCAGGAAGACGGUCCUAGUGGAUUGUAAACUGCUUUUAUACAGGAAGAAACACUCGGACGUGUCCGAACUUGACGGUACUGUAUGAAUAAGCAUCGGCU